UGGCGGACGGGUGAGUAACACGUGAGCAACCUGCCUUUCAGUGGGGGACAACAGUUGGAAACGACUGCUAAUACCGCAUAACGUGCUUGGGGGCAUCCCCCGAGUACCAAAGAUUUAUCGCUGAAAGAUGGGCUCGCGUCUGAUUAGAUAGUUGGUGAGGUAACGGCCCACCAAGUCGACGAUCAGUAGCCGGACUGAGAGGUUGAACGGCCACAUUGGGACUGAGACACGGCCCAGACUCCUACGGGAGGCAGCAG
rnacentral:rRNA from 1 species